rnacentral:rRNA from 1 species
UACGGAGGGGGCUAGCGUUGUUCGGAAUCACUGGGCGUAAAGCGCACGUAGGCGGCAUGUUUAGUCAGGGGUGAAAGGCCCGGGCUCAACCCGGGAACGGCCUUUGAUACUGGCAUGCUUGAGUCCGAGAGGGGGUGGUGGAACUCCCAGUGUAGAGGUGAAAUUCGUAGAUAUUGGGAAGAACACCGGUGGCGAAGGCGACCACCUGGCUCGGAACUGACGCUGAGGUGCGAAAGCGUGGGGAGCAAACAGG